GACAGCCUACGGGAGGCAGCAGUGGGGAAUAUUGCACAAUGGGGGAAACCCUGAUGCAGCGACGCCGCGUGAGUGAAGAAGUAUUUCGGUAUGUAAAGCUCUAUCAACAGGGAAGAAAAUGACGGUACCUGACUAAGAAGCCCCGGCUAACUACGUGCCAGCAGCCGCGGUAAUACGUAGGGGGCAAGCGUUAUCCGGAUUUACUGGGUGUAAAGGGAGCGUAGACGGCAGAGCAAGUCUGAAGUGAAAGCUCGCGGCCCAACUGCGGGACUGCUUUGGAAACUGCCCGGAUAGAGUG
rnacentral:rRNA from 1 species